rnacentral:misc_RNA from 1 species
AAGUCGUAACAAGGUUUCCGUAGGUGAACCUGCGGAAGGAUCAUUAACGUGUUCGUUCGGCCGUUCGGGUCGGCCCUGCACCGACGGAGACGUCGUGCUGCGGGCUCCCGGACGCGCCUUCCAAACCAAACCCCUGUGAACCUUUGGGAGGGUCGAGCCUUCGCCGGCGACGCCGUCCCCUUUACAAACUCUUGUAUCUCAUAGAAUGACCGCGGACAUCGUCUGCCUAAACACAUAACAACUUUCAACAACGGAUCUCUUGGCUCUC